rnacentral:piRNA from 1 species
UAAGAUGCAAAUGAAUGUCCGGAAGACAUU